rnacentral:lncRNA from 1 species
AUUGAAGGCUUCGUAUGGAUACCUGUAGAGGCUGGAUGCAUGUGUGGCUCAACGAGAACCUCAUCGAUUACCACGAUCAUCAACCAUGGAGAUCAUCGACUCGCACAAGGUAUGGAGAUCUGAUCUUCGAUUUUCGAUUUCAUUUAAAUCUAAUUUUUCAGCAUCUUAAAAGCAUGUGAUCGAUCCUAUUACAUGUAGAUUAGAUCUACUUCAUACAUGUUAGAUAGAUUAAAUUAUUUAAUUUAGAUUCUAUUACAUUCAUAUCUUUAAAAGUUAAAAAUCUGCAUG